UGGGGCUAUGUCCACUAGGAACAGGUUUUAUAAGAGUGGGGCUAGGUCACUUAUGGAACAGGUUUAUAAUAAAGAGGGGGACUAUGUCACUAUGGAACAGGUUUAUAAUAAAGAGUGGGCCUAUGUCACUAUGGAAACAGGUUUAUAAUAAAGAGUGGGGCUAUGUCACUAUGGAACAGGUAGUGAAGUGUUGAAAUUGUGUCACUGAGUUGAAAAAGGAUCCCAAUAGUGGGAUGAAGAAGCAAGGUGUCGCAGGUACAGAACAGGAACUUACAGUAGAUCCCAUUUCACCAUAAAUAAAACCAGGACACAUUUAGUAAACUUGAUCAAAGUUUAUUAUUGAGCAAGGAAACAUUUACGUCUGGUCCAGUGUUUCUUUAAAGUAUCAACGAAAAUAAUAAUUAGUAUUUUUCAUGAAGAUAAUUAUGACGUAGAACCCAACACAUGAGGACGUAGAAACCAACGACGUAGAACCCAAAACAUGAGGAUGUAGAACACAACGACGUAGAACACAACACAUAAGGACGUAGAACACAUGAGAACGUAGAACCCAACACACAAGGACGUAGAACACAACGACGUAGAACCCAACACGCGGACGUAGGAACCCAACACAUGAGGACGUAGAACACAACGACGUAGAACCCAACCUGUCUGGCCUUGAUCUCUAUGAGCUGCCAGAUCAAUAGUAAAAAUGUAUUGUGGAAGGACCACCAGAGGGCAGGCUGGGCUCACGGAUAGUAGCCCAACAAGGCAUGGGAGACAAGGUAACCAGAGGGCAGGCUGGGCUCAC
rnacentral:lncRNA from 1 species